UGCAGUUUUACUGCUUUUCCAACGUAAAAUAAAGUCACACUAGAGCGCCGCUUACUGUGCUCCAUAGCUGCAACACAACAAG